rnacentral:rRNA from 1 species
AACAGGAUUAGAUACCCUGGUAGUCCACGCCGUAAACGAUGAGUGCUAGGUGUUGGGGGGCUACGCCCCUCAGUGCCGAAGGUAACCCAUUAAGCACUCCGCCUGGGGAGUACGGCCGCAAGGCUGAAACUCAAAGGAAUUGACGGGGGCCCGCACAAGCGGUGGAGCAUGUGGUUUAAUUCGAAGCAACGCGAAGAACCUUACCAGGGCUUGACAUCCCGCUGACCCCUCCAGAGAUGGAGGUUUCCUUCGGGACAGCGGUGACAGGUGGUGCAUGGUUGUCGUCAGCUCGUGUCGUGAGAUGUUGGGUUCAGUCCCGCAACGAGCGCAACCCUUGUCGUUAGUUGCCAGCAUUUCGGAUGGGCACUCUAACGAGACGGCCGGUGAAAGCCGGAGGAAGGUGGGGAUGACGUCAAAUCAUCAUGCCCCUUAUGUCCUGGGCUACACACGUGCUACAAUGGCUGGUACAAAGGGCAGCGAACCCGCGAGGGGGAGCCAAUCCCAAAAAGCCAGUCUCAGUUCGGAUCGCAGGCUGCAACUCGCCUGCGUGAAGCCGGAAUCGCUAGUAAUCGCGGAUCAGCAUGCCGCGGUGGAUACGUUCCCGGGCCUUGUACACACCGCCCGUCACACCACGAGAGUUUGCAACACCCGAAGUCGGUGAGGCAACCUUUUAGGAGCCAGCCGCCGAAGGUGGGGCAGAUGAUUGGGGUGAAGUCGUAACAAGGUAACC